GGAAGCGUGUCAGAGUGGUCGAAUGAGCAGGUCUUGAAAACCUGUGUACCGGCAACGGUACCGAGGGUUCGAAUCCCUCCGCUUCCG
rnacentral:tRNA from 1 species